rnacentral:rRNA from 1 species
UAAAAGUCGUAACAAGGUUUCCGUAGGUGAACCUGCGGAAGGAUCAUUAAAGAGUAAGGGUGCUCAGCGCCCGACCUCCAACCCUUUGUUGUUAAAACUACCUUGUUGCUUUGGCGGGACCGCUCGGUCUCGAGCCGCUGGGGAUUCGUCCCAGGCGAGCGCCCGCCAGAGUUAAACCAAACUCUUGUUAUUUAACCGGUCGUCUGAGUUAAAAUUUUGAAUAAAUCAAAACUUUCAACAACGGAUCUCUUGGUUCUCGCAUCGAUGAAGAACGCAGCGAAAUGCGAUAAGUAAUGUGAAUUGCAGAAUUCAGUGAAUCAUCGAAUCUUUGAACGCACAUUGCGCCCCUUGGUAUUCCGAGGGGCAUGCCUGUUCGAGCGUCAUUACACCACUCAAGCUAUGCUUGGUAUUGGGUGCCGUCCUUAGUUGGGCGCGCCUUAAAGACCUCGGCGAGGCCUCACCGGCUUUAGGCGUAGUAGAAUUUAUUCGAACGUCUGUCAAAGGAGAGGACUUCUGCCGACUGAAACCUUUAUUUUUCUAGGUUGACCUCGGAUCAGGUAGGGAUACCCGCUGAACUUAAGCAUAUCAAUAA